rnacentral:rRNA from 1 species
GAUGAACGCUGGCGGCGUGCCUAAUACAUGCAAGUCGAACGAAGGUAGCAAUACCUUAGUGGCGAACGGGUGAGUAACACGUAGGUAACCUGCCUUUCAGUUGGGGAUAACCGAGGGAAACUUUGGCUAAUACCGAAUUCGUGCUUCGAAGGCAUCUUUGGAGCAUAAAAGGGGCCUUUAAAGCCUCGCUGAUUGAUGGACCUGCGGCGCAUUAGUUAGUUGGUGAGAUAACAGCCCACCAAGACGAGGAUGCGUAGCCGACCUGAGAGGGUGAACGGCCACACUGGAACUGAGACACGGUCCAGACUCCUACGGGAGGCAGCAGUAGGGAGUUUUCGGCAAUGGGGGAAACCCUGACCGAGCAACGCCGCGUGAGUGAUGAAGGUCUUCGGAUUGUAAAGCUCUGUUAUAAGGGAAGAACGGCAGCUAGAGGAAAUGCUAGCUGUUUGACGGUACUUUAUGAGAAAGCCACGGCUAACUACGUG